UACGUAGGGUGCAAGCGUUAAUCGGAAUUACUGGGCGUAAAGCGUGCGCAGGCGGUGAUGUAAGACAGUUGUGAAAUCCCCGGGCUCAACCUGGGAACUGCAUCUGUGACUGCAUCGCUGGAGUACGGUAGAGGGGGAUGGAAUUCCGCGUGUAGCAGUGAAAUGCGUAGAUAUCCGCAGGAACAUCCGAGGCGAAAGCGGCUCGCUGG
rnacentral:rRNA from 1 species